rnacentral:rRNA from 1 species
GUCGAACGCGAGAGUCCCGCAAGGGAUGAGUAGCGUGGCAAACGGGUGAGUAACACGUGGGUGACCUGCCUUCGAGUGGGGGAUAACGUCCCGAAAGGGACGCUAAUACCGCAUGAUAUCCUGCUUUUGAAGAGGUGGAGAUCAAAGCCGGGGAUCGCAAGACCUGGCGCUUGAAGAGGGGCCCGCGCCUGAUUAGCUAGUUGGUGAGGCAACGGCUCACCAAGGCAACGAUCAGUAUCCGGCCUGAGAGGGCGGACGGACACACUGGGACUGAGACACGGCCCAGACUCCUACGGGAGGCAGCAGUGGGGAAUUGUUCGCAAUGGGCGCAAGCCUGACGACGCAACGCCGCGUGGAGGACGAAGAUCUUCGGGUCGUAAACUCCUGUCGAGUGGGAAGAACAAUUCGGGGAUGAAUACUCUCCGGACUUGACGGUACCACUAAAGGAAGCCCCGGCUAACUCCGUGCCAGCAGCCGCGGUAAUACGGGGGGGGCAAGCGUUGUUCGGAAUUACUGGGCGUAAAGGGCUCGUAGGCGGCCAACUAAGUCAGACGUGAAAUCCCCAGGCUCAACCUGGGAACUGCGUCUGAUACUGGAUGGCUUGAAUUCGGGAGAGGGAUGCAGAAUUCCAGGUGUAGCGGUGAAAUGCGUAGAUAUCUGGAGGAAUAC